UACAGAGGUCCCAAGCGUUGUUCGGAUUCAUUGGGCGUAAAGGGUGCGUAGGCGGCGCGGUAAGUCGGGUGUGAAAGCCCGGGGCUUAACCCCGGGUCUGCAUUCGAUACGGGCUAGCUAGAGUGUGGUAGGGGAGAUCGGAAUUCCUGGUGUAGCGGUGAAAUGCGCAGAUAUCAGGAGGAACACCGGUGGCGAAGGCGGGUCUCUGGGCCGUAACUGACGCUGAGGAGCGAAAGCGUGGGGAGCGAACAGG
rnacentral:rRNA from 1 species